AUUGAACGCUGGCGGCAUGCCUAACACAUGCAAGUCGAGCGGAUGAGCCUUGCUUGCUCCUGGAUUCAGCGUCGCACUCGUGUGUAUUACCUAUGAAUCUCCCUCCUAUUUCUUUAUUACGUCUUGAAACGGCCGCUACUACCGCAUACGUCCUGUUCGUGCAACUUGGUGAUCUUCGGACCUUACCCUCUCAGAUGAGCCUAGUUCGGAUUAGCUAGUUGGUGGGUUAAAUGCCUACCAAGGCGACGAUCCGUAAAUGGUCUGAGAGGAUGAUCAGUCAGAAUGGAACUGAGACACGGACCAGACUACUACGGGAGGCAGCAGAGGGGAAUAUAGGAAAAGGGGCGAAAGACUGAUCCAGCCAUGCCGAGUGUGUGAAGAAGGUCUUCGGAAUGUAAAGCACUUGAAGUUGGGAGGAAGGGAAGUAAGUUAAUACCUUGAUGUUUUGAAGUUACCAACAGAAUAAGCACCGGCUAACUACGUG
rnacentral:rRNA from 1 species